rnacentral:tRNA from 1 species
UGUGCGCAUAGCUCAGCUGGAUAGAGCGUCUGACUACGGAUCAGAAGGCCGGGAGUUCGAAUCUUCUUGCGCACGUC